rnacentral:rRNA from 1 species
UGACCCCAGGUCAGACGAGAUUACCCGCUG